AGAGUUUGAUCAUGGCUCAGAAUCAACGCUGGCGGCGUGCCUAACACAUGCAAGUCGAACGAGAAAGGGGAGCAAUCCCUGAGUAAAGUGGCGACCGGGUGAGUAACACGUGACUAACCUACCCUCGAGUGUGGAAUAACAUCGGGAAACCGAUGCUAAUACCGCAUAACAUCGCAAGAUCAAAGGAGCAAUCCGCUUGAGGAGGGGGUCGCGGCUGAUUAGCUAGUUGGCGGGGUAACGGCCCACCAAGGCGAAGAUCGGUAUCCGGCCUGAGAGGGCGCACGGACACACUGGAACUGAAACACGGUCCAGACUCCUACGGGAGGCAGCAGUGGGGAAUUUUGCGCAAUGGGGGAAACCCUGACGCAGCAACGCCGCGUGGAGGAUGAAGCCCCUUGGGGCGUAAACUCCUUUCGACCAAGACGAUAAUGACGGUACUGGUGGAAGAAGCACCGGCUAACUCUGUGCCAGCAGCCGCGGUAAUACAGAGGGUGCAAGCGUUGUUCGGAAUUAUUGGGCGUAAAGGGUGCGUAGGCGGCGCGGUAAGUCACCUGUGAAAUCCCCGGGCUUAACUCGGGGCCUGCAGGCGAAACUGCCGUGCUGGAGUAUGGGAGAGGUGCGUGGAAUUCCCGGUGUAGCGGUGAAAUGCGUAGAUAUCGGGAGGAACACCUGUGGCGAAAGCGGCGCACUGGACCAUAACUGACGCUGAUGCACGAAAGCUAGGGGAGCAAACAGGAUUAGAUACCCUGGUAGUCCUAGCCCUAAACGAUGAUUGCUUGGUGUGGUGGGUACCCAAUCCCACUGUGCCGCAGCUAACGCGAUAAGCAAUCCGCCUGGGGAGUACGGUCGCAAGGCUGAAACUCAAGGAAUUGACGGGGGCCCGCACAAGCGGUGGAGCAUGUGGUUCAUUCGACGCAACGCGAAGAACCUUACCUGGGCUCGAAAUGUAGUGGAUAGGUGGAAACAUCCUAGUCUCGCAGAGACUGCUAUUAUAGGUGGCUGCAUGGCUGUCGUCAGCUCGUG
rnacentral:rRNA from 1 species